rnacentral:rRNA from 1 species
UACGAAGGGGGCUAGCGUUGCUCGGAAUCACUGGACGUAAAGCGCACGUAGGCGGCUUCUUAAGUCAGGGGUGAAAUCCUGGAGCUCAACUCCAGAACUGCCUUUGAUACUGAGAGGCUUGAGUCCGGGAGAGGUGAGUGGAACUGCGAGUGUAGAGGUGAAAUUCGUAGAUAUUCGCAAGAACACCAGUGGCGAAGGCGGCUCACUGGCCCGGUACUGACGCUGAGGUGCGAAAGCGUGGGGAGCAAACAGG